rnacentral:rRNA from 1 species
AACGAACGCUGGCGGCGCGCCUAAUACAUGCAAGUCGAGCGAGAAGACGUAGCAAUACGUUUGUAAAGCGGCGAACGGGUGAGGAAUACAUGGGUAACCUACCCUCGAGUGGGGAAUAACUAGCCGAAAGGUUAGCUAAUACCGCGUACGCUCCUUGGACUUCGGUUCAGGGAGGAAAGCGAUACCGUGGGUAUCGCGCUCUUGGAUGGGCUCAUGUCCUAUCAGCUUGUUGGUGAGGUAACGGCUCACCAAGGCUUCGACGGGUAGCUGGUCUGAGAGGACGAUCAGCCACACUGGCACUGCGACACGGGCCAGACUCCUACGGGAGGCAGCAGUAAGGAAUAUUGCGCAAUGGGCGAAAGCCUGACGCAGCGACGCCGCGUGGGGGAUGAAGGUCUUCGGAUUGUAAACCCCUUUCGGGAGGGAAGAUGGAACGAGCAAUCGUUCGGACGGUACCUCCAGAAGCAGCCACGGCCAACUUCGUGCCAGCCGCCGCCGU